GCGAAGCAGUAGCAGUUCAUGGAGCUGCCCUUCACAAACCUUGAAGUAGCUUUCAUCUUGCUGGCUUUUGUCAUUUUCACCUUGUUUACCCUGGCUUCUAUCUACAGUGACUCCCAUGACAACAAAGAAGAAGAAAGCUACACACAGGAAGAAUACAAGAAAAGGAGAAAAUCCAACAAGAAAAAGAAGCAUUCAAAUAUGACUGAAGUGGUUUAGAAUACUACCCAAGUCCACUGCUGGAAACACUUGUGAAAGAGGUAUCUCUGGAAGCUGCUCACCUGAAGAUAGUGAGAAAACGGAUGUGAGAAAGGAAGGAUCUGGUCAUCCAUCAGAUGGAAUCCAGACAUGACAAUUAGAGUUAAUGAACCACGACCCAUGAAGCUGCUUCAGCACCUUUUUACAGCCCCACUUCAUGGCCUUCAUAAAAGUACCAGGGCUUAUUUUACAGAGCACAUCUGCUCUAAAUUCCCAAAGGAGAAGCUUACACUCAGAAGUUAUUUUUUGUUUCUUCACCACUUUUCAGUCAUUUAUAAACAAUAUUUAACAGCAAUGUAUUUACUCUUCUACCUAUUCAGUCAACAGAAUAUCAGAAUUGGAGGAUAAUUUUUUUACAAUAAAACAAUAUUAUUAUAAUAUUUAUUUAGUUUGCAUUAGCAUUAAUAAGCUGCUGAGUCUGACUGAAAAGUACCAGUGUUGUUUUUUGUUUUUCCAGUAUCAUGGCAUCUAUAUCCAAAUAUUGCCUUUGAUUUUAAAUAUUUAGAAACAGUAUGCUUUACAAAAAUCAGGUUGAUUUACUGCUUUUGGAAUACCUCAGUCAGCCUUGGUACUGAAGUCCUCAGUUUCCUUACAGAGCAGAUAUAACUAAUGAAGCAAUACUUCUUCCUCCCUUCUGAAAUCCAGAAGAUCUGCUGAACUUCUUAGGCUGAGGUUGGAACUGAUCCUUCCUGCCUCAUGGACAAAGCACUGCUGCAGUUUUUACAUCCUAUUCAUUCCCUUAGGUCUCAACCAGUGCUACACCCACACUGCUUCUUCUAUCCACAUGCAAAAAGAAGCAAAGAGAAGGACAAAGUAGCUCAUAGACUAAUUGUUAGAAAACUGCCUUUUGCAUACUAGGAGUUGACUGGAAGAGCUCUGGGCUGGGCUAUAAGGUGUAAUAUGCAGAGGAAAGAAUUAAUUAUUUUCCUCACCACAGUGACAUGUAUAAAAAUACCAGGGAAUUGACCCUGUUGUAUCAUGAAGCUUCAGAUGGCAAUAGCUGAGCAGCCUAGUAAUGAUGCUUUCACAUCGUCAAUGUUCUUCAGGAAAGUAAGGAGAAUACCUUCUUCUAAUAUUUGUCACUAAUUUUAAAAAUAAUCAAUUUGCAUAAUAAUCCAAGACCGAGUAAAUACUAGAGCCAUUUGCUGGAAGAAUACAUAUAUUUUGUUAAGACAUUAUUGGUCAGCCAAGGUCUGAUGUGUAUACAGUGCUAGCAUAAAAAUGAUUUUCCCAAAACAAAUCAAUUCGCUAUCAAAACUGAUAUCUAUGUUACAAUUGCUUUUUGGAAAUAAUAGACAAUCCCAGGAAUCCUUGUCCAACAUAGCCCUUGUCAAAGCCUCCCAUAGUAAAAUACAUUAUUCCCCUGUUUUUAUAUCAAGCAAAGACAUCUCAGCAGCUGGUGCCUCUUUAAAUCUGAACUGGAAGAAAACCACUGUUUGCUCUUGCACAUGGAAAUGUCUCUGGUAUUUGCAGGACCUCACUGGGAGUCACUGCUUUUCAAGAGAAGUAGCUCAUAGAAUUAUUGUAUUAUAAUAUUUUUCCACAGCCUAAAUAGCAGUUAAAAUAAUAAACUGCCUUAUUAUAGCCAAGUUUUCUCAAUUAAAAAGAAAACAAAGUUCUUCA